AGAGUUUGAUCCUGGCUCAGGAUGAACGCUGGCGGCGUGGAUAAGGCAUGCAAGUCGAAUGCACUUCGGGUGCAUGGCGAACCGGGUAGUAAUGCAUAGGAACAUUCCCUAUUCUUAAGAAUAACCCAGAGAAAUCUGGACUAAUACUUAAUAGCUCCCAUUUAGUUGGGUAAAGAUUUCAAGCUUGCUUGAAGUCGGAAUAGGAUUGGCCUGUGUGGUAUCAGCUUGUUGGUAAGGUAAUGGCUUACCAAGGCUAUGACGCCUAGGGGGUGUGAGAGCAUGACCCCCACCAUUGGGACUGAGACACUGCCCAAACUCCUACGGGAGGCUGCAGUCGAGAAUCUUGCGCAAUGCGCGAAAGCGUGACGCAGCGACGCCGCGUGUUUGAAUAAGCCCUUCGGGGUGUAAAGAACUUUUCUUAGGGAACAAGUGUUUUGUUUUACAAAACACUGAGCUAACCUAAGGAAUAAAGGGCUGCUAAACUCGUGCCAGCAGCAGCGGUAAUACGAGUGCCCUAAGCGUUAUCCGGAAUUAUUGGGCGUAAAGCGUCUGUAGGCGGCAGGAUAAGUUUUCUGUUAAAUUCCAAUGCUCAACAUUGGGUUCGCAGAAAAUACUAUUCUACUAGAGCUUGCGAGAGGCUAGUGGAACUCAUGGAGAAGGAGUGAAAUCCGUUGAUACUAUGGGGAACACCAAAGGCGAAGGCAACUAGCUGGAGCAAAGCUGACGCUGAGAGACGAAAGCCAGGGGAGUGAAGCGGAUUAGAUACCCGCGUAAUCCUGUGCUGUAAACGAUGGAUACUAGCUAUUUGGAGUAUCGACCCUCUAAGUGGCGAAGCUAACGCGUUAAGUAUCCCGCCUGGGAAGUACGGCCGCAAGGCUAAAACUCAAAGGAAUAGACGGGGACCUGCACAAGCGGUGGAGCGUCUGGUUUAAUUCGACAUUAAGCGAGGAACCUUACCGAGGUUUGACAUCCUCUGACAUCCCUGGGAAACCAGGGUUUCCUUUCAGGACAGAGUGACAGGUGCUGCAUGGUUGUCGUCAGUUCGUGUCGCAAGAUGUACCCUUAAGUGGGGUAACGAACGCAACCCUUAUCGCGUGUUACAAGUGUCACGCGAGACUGCCAGCCUAUGGCUGGAGGAAGUGGGGAUGACGUCAAAUCAGCAUGGCCCUUUUACACCUCGGGCGACACAGGCGCUACAAUGGCCAAGACAAAGGGUUGCCAACCUGCAAAGGGGAGCUAAUCCCUAAACUUGGUCUUAGUUCGGAUUGGGGUCUGCAAUUCGACCCCAUGAAGUCGGAAUCGCUAGUAAUCGUGGAUCAGCCACGCCACGGUGAAUACGUUCUCAGGUCUUGUACUCACCGCCCGUCAAGUCAGGAAAGCUGGUAAUGCCGGAAGUUCUUAUCUUUAUUGAUAAGACCCAUGGCAGGAUCAGUGAUCAGGACUAAGUCGUAACAAGGCAUGCGUAGCGGAAGCUGUGCAUG
rnacentral:rRNA from 1 species